AUGCAUCCAAAGUCUGUUUCUUGUGAUAUAGAUAGAAAUUCUGCCUGUAAUCCGUACUGAUGAGCAUUUUUUACAUCUUCAGCCAACAUAAUUUUGCAUGUUUGCUCACUAGCUGUCCUGUUACAGAGGUGUAAUAAAUCUAUGUAGGAGUGGGAACAAAUUGUACUUUGAUAAAAGUUGGGCCAGAUUUACAUUAUGUAGCCUACUGCCCCUUUCCCUUCUUCCAGGACUGAACCAAUAAAUGAGGACAAUUGUGUGCAAACAAUGUUUUAAAUUGACUUUGUAUGAGUGGAGAGGAAUGAAUCAAAGCCGGUGUCUCUGUAUGCAGGGUCCAAAUGUGUGUGACAGUUUAUUGUUAAUGGAAUUUGAGGCCAAGAGUGGAUGAUGAAAAGGAAACUAUUAUCCUGCUACAGUAAGGAACACCAAGAAAUGAAAGGAUGGAAAUGUUCUGUUGCAAGCCUCACAAGUUUGUCAGGACAAGUGGAGCAGUCAUCCAUAAAAUGGUCAACUUGGUAAAUACCAUGUCUUUUGGACAUCAAGCUUGAAAAUUUGUCAGCAGAAUUAAGUUUUCCGGUGUUCACACUGUUCCUGUUCACUGGCUGGAUCCAUGAAGAAAGGACAAUUAGAGCAUGGGUCAGGAUCCUGCUUUCAUUACUUUUACAGCAAGCUUCCCCAUCUUUCUGGAUCAUAGUGGUACUGUGAGAACAGCAGAGUUCUUGUGGGACAGAGCUCAUGUGUAUGAAAGGAAUAAUUUCACUACAUCCUAUGUAAAGGGAAACAGUUUACAUUAGCAAUUAAAAUUUUUCAUAUGCUUAAUUGUUCAUGACAUAUGAAAUUCAGGCUAUUUAACUAAAUAAAUGUUUAAUAUUAUAAAAAUUAAGGGAAAAAUAAUCAUGAGACAAUGGAAAAUCUAUUUCAAUUGUCACACUGAAUUCUUAUCAGCAGGUUUCUAUAGAAGGGAAAAUACUAACCCAUACUAAAAAAAAAAAAAUGCAGUAAUGAAGGAGAAGAGAGUAAUGUAGCACAUUUAUUUCAUCUAAGUAAUUCUGGGUACCUGGCACAUCAGAGACAGUGGGAGACUCUUACUAUAGUAUAUUAUCUGCAUGGAACAUGUUCCACAUCUGCCUCUUACACUCAACACACCAGAUUCAUCACAAUACAGUACCAGAU